rnacentral:rRNA from 1 species
UACGUAGGAUGCUAGCGUUGUUCGGAAUCACUGGGCGUAAAGGGCGCGUAGGCGGCCAUGCAAGUCGGAUGUGAAAGCCCCGGGCUCAACCCGGGAAGUGCACUCGAUACUGCGUGGCUUGAGUACCGGAGAGGUUGGUGGAAUUCUCGGUGUAGAGGUGAAAUUCGUAGAUAUCGAGAGGAACACCGGUGGCGAAGGCGGCCAACUGGACGGAUACUGACGCUGAGACACGAAAGCGUGGGGAGCAAACAGG